rnacentral:rRNA from 1 species
CAGUAGCCGCGGUAAAACGUAGGGCGCGAGCGUUAAUCGGAAUUACUGGGCGUAAAGCGUGCGCAGGCGGUUCGUUAAGACAGAUGUGAAAUCCCCGGGCUUAACCUGGGAACUGCAUUUGUGACUGGCGAGCUAGAGUAUGGCAGAGGGGGGUAGAAUUCCACGUGUAGCAGUGAAAUGCGUAGAGAUGUGGAGGAAUACCGAUGGCGAAGGCAGCCCCCUGGGCCAAUACUGACGCUCAUGCACGAAAGCGUGGGGAGCAAACAGGAUUAGAUACCCGCGUAGUCCCUGUCUCUUAUAC